rnacentral:rRNA from 1 species
UAAGAGACAGCAGCCGCCACGGUAAUACGUAGGUCCCGAGCGUUGUCCGGAUUUAUUGGGCGUAAAGCGAGCGCAGGCGGUUAGAUAAGUCUGAAGUUAAAGGCUGUGGCUUAACCAUAGUACGCUUUGGAAACUGUUUAACUUGAGUGCAAGAGGGGAGAGUGGAAUUCCAUGUGUAGCGGUGAAAUGCGUAGAGAUGUGGAGGAACACCAGUGGCGAAGGCGACUCUCUGGUCUGUAACUGACGCUGAGGAGCGAAAGCGUGGGGAGCGAACAGGAUUAGAUACCCCAGUAGUCCCUGUCUCUUAUACA